AAACCAGCACCUCAAGUGGUCAGGAUGAUUAUUGGGCCUAAAGCAUCCGUAGCCGGCUCUGUAAGUGUUCGGUUAAAUCUGUACGCUUAACGUACAGGCUGCUGGGAAUACUGCAGAGCUAGGGAGUGGGAGAGGUAGACGGUACUCGGGAGGAAGUGGUAAAAUGCUUUGAUCUCUCGAUGACCACCUGUGGCGAAGGCGGUCUACCAGAACACGUCCGACGGUGAGGGAUGAAAGCUGGGGGAGCAAACCGGAUUAGAAACCCUAGUAGUCC
rnacentral:rRNA from 1 species